rnacentral:rRNA from 1 species
UACGGGGGGGGCAAGCGUUGUUCGGAAUUACUGGGCGUAAAGGGUUUGUAGGUGGCUUGCUAAGUCAGACGUGAAAUCCCUCAGCUUAACUGGGGAACUGCGUCUGAGACUGGUGAGCUUGAGUGCAGGAGAGGAACGCGGAAUUCCAGGUGUAGCGGUGAAAUGCGUAGAUAUCUGGAGGAACACCGGUGGCGAAGGUGGCGUUCUGGACUGCAACUGACACUGAGGAACGAAAGCCAGGGGAGCAAACGGG